rnacentral:rRNA from 1 species
AGUCGAACGGUGAAGCCAAGCUUGCUUGGUGGAUCAGUGGCGAACGGGUGAGUAACACGUGAGCAACCUGCCCUGGACUCUGGGAUAAGCGCUGGAAACGGCGUCUAAUACUGGAUAUGAGCUCUCAUCGCAUGGUGGGGGUUGGAAAGAUUUUUCGGUCUGGGAUGGGCUCGCGGCCUAUCAGCUUGUUGGUGAGGUAAUGGCUCACCAAGGCGUCGACGGGUAGCCGGCCUGAGAGGGUGACCGGCCACACUGGGACUGAGACACGGCCCAGACUCCUACGGGAGGCAGCAGUGGGGAAUAUUGCACAAUGGGCGGAAGCCUGAUGCAGCAACGCCGCGUGAGGGAUGACGGCCUUCGGGUUGUAAACCUCUUUUAGCAGGGAAGAAGCGAGAGUGACGGUACCUGCAGAAAAAGCGCCGGCUAACUACGUGCCAGCAGCCGCGGUAAUACGUAGGGCGCAAGCGUUAUCCGGAAUUAUUGGGCGUAAAGAGCUCGUAGGCGGUUUGUCGCGUCUGCUGUGAAAUCCCGAGGCUCAACCUCGGGCCUGCAGUGGGUACGGGCAGACUAGAGUGCGGUAGGGGAGAUUGGAAUUCCUGGUGUAGCGGUGGAAUGCGCAGAUAUCAGGAGGAACACCGAUGGCGAAGGCAGAUCUCUGGGCCGUAACUGACGCUGAGGAGCGAAAGGGUGGGGAGCAAACAGGCUUAGAUACCCUGGUAGUCCACCCCGUAAACGUUGGGAACUAGUUGUGGGGACCAUUCCACGGUUUCCGUGACGCAGCUAACGCAUUAAGUUCCCCGCCUGGGGAGUACGGCCGCAAGGCUAAAACUCAAAGGAAUUGACGGGGACCCGCACAAGCGGCGGAGCAUGCGGAUUAAUUCGAUGCAACGCGAAGAACCUUACCAAGGCUUGACAUACACCAGAACACCGUAGAAAUACGGGACUCUUUGGACACUGGUGAACAGGUGGUGCAUGGUUGUCGUCAGCUCGUGUCGUGAGAUGUUGGGUUAAGUCCCGCAACGAGCGCAACCCUCGUUCUAUGUUGCCAGCACGUAAUGGUGGGAACUCAUGGGAUACUGCCGGGGUCAACUCGGAGGAAGGUGGGGAUGACGUCAAAUCAUCAUGCCCCUUAUGUCUUGGGCUUCACGCAUGCUACAAUGGCCGGUACAAAGGGCUGCAAUACCGUGAGGUGGAGCGAAUCCCAAAAAGCCGGUCCCAGUUCGGAUUGAGGUCUGCAACUCGACCUCAUGAAGUCGGAGUCGCUAGUAAUCGCAGAUCAGCAACGCUGCGGUGAAUACGUUCCCGGGUCUUGUACACACCGCCCGCACCAUGAAAGUCGGUAACACCUGAAGCAUUUGGCCCAACCCUUGUGGAGAGAGCCGUCGAAUGCGG